UCCAUUUAGGCCAACCUACAGGAGGAGAAACGCUCUGAAAGCCACACUAGCCUAUUACUCUUUCUUUAGGGAGUCAUCUAACCCUAAGAUCAAUCUUGAAAGGUCAUGCUUUUAGUUUACAGAUAAUCAACAAAGAAAAUUGACUCAAAAGAGAGCUAGCAUUGUAAGAUGAAUAAUCAGGAGAAACUUCACGAAGAACAAGGUGCUGUGGUGCUAUGCCCAGGAACACAAGCUUGGUGGCUUGAGAUGAACUGGUACAACUUUGAGAAGAAAAGGUAUGCAAUUAUGUAGAAUCAAGGUCCCCUUCAUAGUGGAAACAUGAAUUUGAGGCAGUCCCAAUUGCAUAUAUAGAAACAUGAGAAUAUUGUGCCUAUAGAAUUCAUUUCCAUUAUUUAGUUUAUUGUGAGUCUGCCCUAGCCUGAAAAUUGCCACAAUGUUGACACAUUUGUAAUUUUUAUCUAUAAUUUUUUAAAUUUUGCCUACGUGUCUGUACCAUGUACU